CCGCUGCUGGAGGAGCCCGCGUCGGAUUAGGUAGUUGGUGGGGUAAUGGCCUACCAAGCCUGUGAUCCGUAGCUGGUCUGAGAGGAUGAUCAGCCACACUGGGACUGAGACACGGCCCAG
rnacentral:rRNA from 1 species